UGCUUCAAUCCAGCACUCAAUCAGUAAUGGAAUUAUUAUCUCAAUAAAACCCUUUAAAUUCUCAGCCGAGGACAGGCCUUUUUCUGCACUGUCCAUGACACUUGCCAGAGACCUCAAUCUAAACGAUGAGCUCAUCUUUGGUCGUAAGCCACCAUUUUCAUACAGAUGUAUGUGUUGUUGAUUAUUUGCAUGGACCUUCCAGCUUAUAAAU
rnacentral:lncRNA from 1 species